UUAGCAGACGCUGAAAUCUCUGCUGAAAACAACAAAUGCUGGAGAUCACAGCGGGUCAGAGGUGUCCUGGUCUACCUUACCUGAAAGGUGUUUAGCAUUUGUCAUUUCUGUGUUGUGGUUCCUGUAUGAACAUGAAGCGGAGAUUUCGCUUUGACAAUAAAUAGCGGCCGAAAUGCACUUGGAAUUGCCGAGGGUUCAGAUUUCUGUGCACAUUAAUUAACUUGCCUCGUCACACACAUCAACUUGUCACAGUCCCGUGCAAUGGAGCAAUGGAAUGGUUUCUUUUAUAUGCCGUCCCGUUUUAAACAUAUUCCUCGGUAUAAUUUGAGAGUGGUAACUUGGUGCAGUUUGAUGAGGUCCGGCUCACAUAGUUGAAUCAUCAGAACUAAACACGUUAAGGGGUCAGAAUAUCUGAAGGGGCUGAGAAUAUGGUUAGGAGAGUUUGGAAUUGUGUGAACAAGUUGGAACAAGCCUAUAGCCAAAGUGAGACAGAAACCGAGCACUUCAAAGCAACACUGACCCUACACUGUAGGUUUAUAUUGCUGCUGCCUCAUCGCAAUAAAAGCCUGAAGCGAGAAUGUUUGUCACUUUCUCCCAUUCACGCACCAGAAUCGCAGUAUCAUCACGGAGCAGAAAGAGUCCAUUUGGUCCAUCGUACUUGAUCCAAUUCUAUUGCCUAGCGCCAAUCUCCAGCCUUUUCCUUAUAUCCUUGCACACCAUUUAUAUUCAAAAGGUCAUCUGAUUCCCUCUUGAACGCUAUGUUCUACAGCAUGUAUUG